UACGGGGGUGCGAGCGUUGUCCGGAAUCACUGGGCGUAAAGGGCGCGUAGGUGGUUUGAUAAGGGUGUGGUGAAAGUCCGGGGCUCAACCCCGGAUCUGCCGUGCCGACUGUCAAACUCGAGGGCUGUAGAGGCAGACGGAAUUCCGGGUGUAGCGGUGGAAUGCGUAGAGAUCCGGAGGAAGACCGGUGGCGAAGGCGGUCUGCUGGGCAGUUUCUGACACUGGAGGCGCGACAGCGUGGGGAGCAAACAGG
rnacentral:rRNA from 1 species